UCACUCCUGUCUUCCACUGCCUCCCGCAGUUUGGUCAGACCAAACUGCGGGAGGCAGUGGAAGACAGGAAUUA